rnacentral:rRNA from 1 species
AAACGACUCUCGGCAACGGAUAUCUCGGCUCUCGCAUCGAUGAAGAACGUANCGAAAUGCGAUACUUGGUGUGAAUUGCAGAAUCCCGUGAACCAUCGAGUCUUUGAACGCAAGUUGCGCCCGAAGCCUUCGGGCCGAGGGCACGCCUGCCUGGGCGUCACGCA